rnacentral:rRNA from 1 species
AAAUUGAAGAGUUUGAUCAUGGCUCAGAUUGAACGCUGGCGGCAGGCCUAACACAUGCAAGUCGAACGGUAACAGGAAGCAGCUUGCUGCUUCGCUGACGAGUGGCGGACGGGUGAGUAAUGUCUGGGAAACUGCCUGAUGGAGGGGGAUAACUACUGGAAACGGUAGCUAAUACCGCAUAACGUCGCAAGACCAAAGGGGGGGGGACCUUCGGGCCUCUUGCCAUCGGAUGUGCCCAGAUGGGAUUAGCUUGUUGGUGGGGUAACGGCUCACCAAGGCGACGAUCCCUAGCUGGUCUGAGAGGAUGACCAGCCACACUGGAACUGAGACACGGUCCAGACUCCUACGGGAGGCAGCAGUGGGGAAUAUUGCACAAUGGGCGCAAGCCUGAUGCAGCCAUGCCGCGUGUAUGAAGAAGGCCUUCGGGUUGUAAAGUACUUUC